rnacentral:misc_RNA from 1 species
AAGUCGUAACAAGGUUUCCGUAGGUGAACCUGCGGAAGGAUCAUUAUUGAAUAAACUUGGUAGGUUGUCGCUGGCUCCUCGGAGCAUGUGCACGCCUUCCGACUUUAUCCAUCCACCUGUGCACUCUUUGUAGUCUUGUGAAAUGCCUGCGACUUAAAUCUCGAGUCUUUCGGAUGUGGGAAAUGCUUCUUAUAGCUCUUCUCAACGAAGUUGUAAUCAUUUUCCAGACUAUGAUUUUCAUAAACCAUGUAGCAUGUUGUAGAAUGUAUCAAUGGGACUUUGUGCCUAUAAACUUUAUACAACUUUCAGCAACGGAUCUCUUGGCUCUC